GGAGGUUCUCAGGGCGGGGUGCGAUUCCCCACCGGCGGUGAUGGGGCCGGGUCCGCGACAGCGGGCCGACCCCACGAGCCCGCGAGCGCCCGGUCACCACGACCGGGGACCAGCAGAUCCGGUGUGAAUCCGGAGCCGACGGUGACAGUCCGGAUGAGAGAGAACGGCC
rnacentral:ncRNA from 1 species